UACGUAGGUGGCAAGCGUUGUCCGGAUUUACUGGGCGUAAAGAGCGCGCAGGCGGUCGGAUAAGUCGAAUGUGAAAGCCCCCGGCUCAACUGGGGAGGGUCAUUCGAUACUGUUCGACUCGAAGGCAGGAGAGGGAAGUGGAAUUCCCGGUGUAGUGGUGAAAUUCGUAGAUAUUCGGAAGAACACCAGUGGCGAAGGCGACUCGCUGGACAAGUAUUGACGCUGAGGUGCGAAAGCGUGGGGAGCAAACAGG
rnacentral:rRNA from 1 species